AAGACCCAGUCCCAUUUAACGGCAAAUUUGACAGUAACUCAGAUGAAAUUAUUAAUGUUUAGUAACCAUUGGAAAACCAUGAAGCUAGAGGAAGAAAAGAUGUUAAAGUGAGGAACUAAAGGCAGCCUGAGUUGGUGCAAAAGACUGAAAUUCUGAAGCUGAAAGUCGGGCAAGCAUGGUAUAGGGGCCUCACUGAACUGGAGAGUCAAACACACAAGAACACGAUGGUAGAGUAGGAGCUGUGCAGCCACACUUCUGACAGAAAUCUCCUCAUUGGGCAUCAUUGGGAUGUUCUGGCCCAAAAUACAGAUAUCAAUUUAGACUGUGUUUCUAGAGUAACAGCUAGACAAAGCAAGAAUUGAAAGACAACAGAUGGUGCAUCAGAAUUCUAAUGUCAAGACUGUUUCCUCAAAAGGCCAAAAAAAGAAAAAGGUAGAAACAGUGCUGAAGUUCUAAACAAUGCGUUUUCUUCUCUGGAGUGGUCAACUUCAAUUAAAUGGAUGUUGUCAUGCAGGAGAGUUUCUCAGGAACAGCAGAGAUUGUUAAUCCUUAGACCGCAAAGCACAUGACCAAGGGCUCAACAAACAACAGCAACAACAAAAAGGAGUUGACCAGAGUAUAGCAUCAUAGGUGCACAGAAAGAAAAGUUUGAAGAUCACCAGGUGCACAUGGGAAGAGAAUUGGAACAUGUGAUGUAUUUCCUUCAGGUCUCUGCUUAAAUGGCCUGUGAACAAAGAGUGCCAAACCACCCGUCAGAAACAGCCCUCCCUCCACUUGUGUUGGACUCAGCCUUGUGCCCUGCUUGACUUUUCUUCAUAGCUACUGUUGCUGCCUGAGAAUUAACAUACCGUUUGCUUCUCCCGCUAGACCAUGAACUCAGGGAGGAUGGGAAUUUAUCUGCCACUGUACUCCCAGAGCCUAAGAUAAUGCUACCAUGUAGAUGGCUCCCAAUAAAUAUCUUUUGAAUGAAUGACUGCAUGAAGAAAUGAAACAGUCCUUGAGGAAAGAAUCCCACAUGUAUAGGGGACAGCACUUGGAUGUCGUAUUAGAGAUGCUCAGGUUUUAAUCCUGAGUCUCUGGCUUUCUAAAUGUGCAGCAAGGUGCAUAUUACUUCCCUUUGAACCUCAGUUUUCUUAUCUAUAAAAUGAGGGCCUUAACUAUCAUAUGGACUAUCUCAUUUGGAAAGUCAACCCAUUUAAUUAUCUGAAUGUAUAUUACAUAAUUGGUUAAUUUUGGAAGCCAUUGUGAGAAUUAGGUGAGAUAAUACGAGCAAGACCUUGGAACAAGUUAUGUGUCUCUCCAACUCCAGGCAUUAUAUUUGGGGGGAUUUAUUUAUUGUGUUUACAUAAUUUUUAUGUUUUCUAAAUGAUCUUUAAUCAAUAUGUGCUAAUCAAAUAAAUGUUUGUUUCAAUUAUGGAAGCUUAGAAAUAUCUUUUCAAACAAAUUAACUAGGGAAAAAUUCAUACUU